rnacentral:rRNA from 1 species
AGUGAACGCUGGCGGCAGGCCUAAUACAUGCAAGUCGAACGGCAGCACAGUGGAGCUUGCUCCAUGGGUGGCGAGUGGCGGACGGGUGAGGAAUACAUGGGAAUCUGCCCAGUCGUGGGGGAUAACGUAGGGAAACUUACGCUAAUACCGCAUGCGCCCUUCGGGGGAAAGCCGGGGACCUUCGGGCCUGGCGCGAUUGGAUGAGCCCAUGUUCGAUUAGCUAGUUGGCGGGGUAAAGGCCCACCAAGGCGACGAUCGAUAGCUGAUCUGAGAGGAUGAUCAGCCACACUGGAACUGAGACACGGCCCAGACUCCUACGGGAGGCAGCAGUAGGGAAUAUUGGACAAUGGGCGCAAGCCUGAUCCAGCCAUGCCGCGUGAGUGAAGAAGGCCCUCGGGUUGUAAAGCUCUUUUGUCCGGGAAGAAAAGCAUCGGGCUAAUACCUCGGUGUUCUGACGGUACCGGAAGAAUAAGCACCGGCUAACUUCGUG